UACGUAGGGACCAAGCGUUGUCCGGAAUCAUUGGGCGUAAAGAGCGUGUAGGCGGCCUGUUAAGUCUUGCGUGAAAUCUCGGGGCUCAACCCCGAGCGGUCGUGAGAAACUGGCAGGCUAGAGUGCGGGAGAGGAGAGUGGAAUUCCUGGUGUAGCGGUGAAAUGCGCAGAUAUCAGGAAGACACCCGUGGCGAAGGCGGCUCUCUGGAACGCAACUGA
rnacentral:rRNA from 1 species